CAGUAGCCACGGGAAUACAGAGGGUGCGAGCGUUAAUCGGAUUUACUGGGCGUAAAGCGUGCGUAGGCGGCUUUUUAAGUCGGAUGUGAAAUCCCUGAGCUUAACUUAGGAAUUGCAUUCGAUACUGGGAAGCUAGAGUAUGGGAGAGGAUGGUAGAAUUCCAGGUGUAGCGGUGAAAUGCGUAGAGAUCUGGAGGAAUACCGAUGGCGAAGGCAGCCAUCUGGCCUAAUACUGACGCUGAGGUACGAAAGCAUGGGGAGCAAACAGGAUUAGAUACCCCCGUAGUCCCUGACUCUUAUAC
rnacentral:rRNA from 1 species